CGAGCGAGCUUGCCUAGAUGAUUUUAGUGCUUGCACUAAAUGAAACUAGAUACAAGCGAGCGGCGGACGGGUGAGUAACACGUGGGUAACCUGCCCAAGAGACUGGGAUAACACCUGGAAACAGAUGCUAAUACCGGGUAACAACACUAGACGCAUGUCUAGAGUUUGAAAGAUGGUUCUGCUAUCACUCUUGGAUGGACCUGCGGUGCAUUAGCUAGUUGGUAAGGUAACGGCUUACCAAGGCAAUGAUGCAUAGCCGAGUUGAGAGACUGAUCGGCCACAUUGGGACUGAGACACGGCCCAAACUCCUACGGGAGGCAGCAGUAGGGAAUCUUCCACAAUGGACGAAAGUCUGAUGGAGCAACGCCGCGUGAGUGAAGAAGGGUUUCGGCUCGUAAAGCACUGUUGGUAGUGAAGAAAGAUAGAGGUAGUAACUGGCCUUUAUUUGACGGUAAUUACUUAGAAAGUCACGGCUAACUACGUGCCAGCAGCCGCGGUAAUACGUAGGUGGCAAGCGUUGUCCGGAUUUAUUGGGCGUAAAGCGAGUGCAGGCGGUUCAAUAAGUCUGAUGUGAAAGCCUUCGGCUCAACCGGAGAAUUGCAUCAGAAACUGUUGAACUUGAGUGCAGAAGAGGAGAGUGGAACUCCAUGUGUAGCGGUGGAAUGCGUA
rnacentral:rRNA from 1 species